ACCACAUCUCAGAUCUUCUGAUUUCUUCAAGCUGGGGUAGACUAUAUACUACAAUGUGCAUUAAUCUGAAAUGCUUUCCAUUAGCUGCGUCCUCUUCAAUAACUCAAGAUAAAUUUAUCUUGGUGAUUCAGAUUACUACAAAAAUACACUAUUGUUCAAGAGUUUUCCAGUGCACAGGUAAAAAUAUUCUUUUGCCCUGUGGAGAUUACGAUGUUGCAACAAGAUGACACUUCAAAAGAUUUUGGAAAGUACCCUCAAUUCACCAUUUGUUUAUACUUGACUGCAUAGAAUUAGAU
rnacentral:lncRNA from 1 species